rnacentral:lncRNA from 1 species
GUGCCCUAAAGAUCAUGCAAGGCCUAAGAUAAACAACAAUUCGAUAAUUCCACAGUUAAUCACUUAAAUCAAAUAUAUAAAUCCAACAUGACCAAAUAAUCAAAUUGGUUCAUUUACAAAAGCUUUCAAUAUUCAUUGAUAUCAAGAUAGACUAAGCAACUAAUGACUCUCAUACUCGCACUCUGCGCUCAUCCCAUCCAUGUCUAUGCAUCCUGCAACUCUUAAAAAAAAGAAAGAAGAAGGGGU